rnacentral:rRNA from 1 species
CACGCCCUAAACGUUGCGAACUAGGUGUUGGUCGGAUUGACCCGAUCAGUGCCGCAGCUAACGCAUUAAGUUCGCCGCCUGGGGACUACGGCCGCAAGGUUAAAACUCAAAGGAAUAGGCGGGGGCCCGCACAAGCAGCGGAGCGUGUGGUUUAAUUUGAGGCAACGCGAAGAACCUUACCUGGGUUUGACAUGUAGAGGAAACGCCGGUGAAAGCCGGCGCCCCUCGCAAGAGGUCUCUACACAGGUGGUGCAUGGCUGUCGUUAGAUCGUGCCGUGAGGUG